AAGAAGAGCCCACAAUUGCUUUCCAAAGCCCCACACGUGGCCCGGACCCAAGUUAUUUCACAGGGUUGCAACCAAGGGCAUAGACAUCCUGGGUCAAUUCUACUGCUCGGCAGCCCCCUAAACGUCUUUGGAAGGGUUUAAUGGCUUUAAUACUUGAUAGAAGAAAUGAAAACUCUUCAACAGAACUUCUUUGGACCCCCACAGAUGCAAGAUCUUUGGAUAUAGAAACUGAUAUGACACACCUCCUCCCCCACAGCUGGCUUUCAGAAUUCAGAAGAGCUGGGGAAAGCAUCCUUGAUUUUGGACUUCUAACAUCCAGAGCUACAAGAAAAUAACCUCUGAUGUGCGAUGCCACCUGGUUCUGCUCACUUCUCCUAGAACCUCUGGGAAACUAAAAGGAAGGGUGGGGCUGGAGGGUUGCAAUUCAGCUUUCUGCUGCCUCUGCCUGGAACUCAAGCCUGACUGUGCCACAGUGACGGAAACGGGUCACGUGACAGUUCACCUUGCUAAAGACAGCAGUGCAAAUGUAGUUGCUGCUAAGACCAGAAAUCUGGUAAGCAGUGCUACAGGAAAGGAGCCACUGUACUUUGGCCAACCUUAGUAAUUCUUACUCCAAAGGAUAAUGUGUCUGUAUUUGUUUGUUUGUUUGUUUGUUUAGUCCUUCAAGUGAUACAUGGUGAAAGAGUACAAAUGUGCAAGCUGAGAGUGCUUUGUUUUAACUAAUAGACCAUCAUUCAUUCACUCAUUCAGCAGGUACUUACUAAGCACAAGCUAUGUACCAAGAAUUGAACAAAGCACUCGAUUUUGGCUGACCAAAUCACUAGGAAUGUGGAGAAGAGCAUGACGGAGGACUGAGAGAAGUCACCAUCCAUCUCCUGACGGCAGAGCACUGCAGAAUCCUUGUGGGCAGGCAAGAGAAAGAAGGGCAGGAACUAUUGGGAGCGGGGAGGAAGGAGGAACCUCAACUGGCUCACAGGAAGGAUGCUGGUGCUUACAUGGGAUUGGACAAAGGCAGGAAGGGCGAGGGGGAGCAGCUGAGCUAAAGAAAGAAAUGGCCAACCAGUGGCUUCUUGUUGAACUUUAAAAUUUUUUCAUUUCAUAGAAUGUAGCCACAAUGACUAGGAUUUAGUUGAAACUGGGAAAACGUUGACACAUUGUCUGCUUUUUGUUGUCUAUCUAUCUGUCUUAGUCAGGGUUUCUAUUCCUGCACAAACAUGAUGACCAAGAAGCAAGUUGGGGAGGAAAGGGUUUAUUUGGCUUACACUUCCAUACUGCUGNNNNNNNNNNNNNNNNNNNNNNNNNNNNNNNNNNNNNNNNNNNNNNNNNNNNNNNNNNNNNNNNAGACUACCAGCCCAGAGAUGGUCCCACCUACAAGGGGCCCUUCCCCCUUGAUCACUAAUUGAGAAAAUGCCUUACAGUUGGAUCUCAUGGAGAAAUUUCCCCAACUGAAGCUCCCCUCUCUGUGAUAACUCCAGCUGUGUCAAGUUGACACAAAACUAGCCAGUAUUCUAUCUAUCUAUCUAUCUAUCUAUCUAUCUAUCUAUCUAUCUAUCUAUCUAUUAUUUAUUUUUUAUGUUCUAUCUAGCCAUGCCUGUUUCUGUAUUGCCUGUGUCUGCUUUUUACUGAGUACUUGUGAGACCACAUGAUUGGAAAAGCCAAAAAAUAUCUUCUAUCUGCUAGUGUAGAGAAAGCUUGCUGAUUCCUAGUUGUGUGUGUGUGUGUGUGUGUGUGUGUGCGCGCGCGCGCAUGCAUGGGCACACACUGCGUCUUUGCAUGUGGAGGCCAGGGGACAGCCCCAGGUGACAUUCUUCAAGAGUCUUCUACCUUCUUUUCUGAGAUAGGGUCUUUCACUAGGCCUGGGACUCACCGGGUAAGCUAGGUUGGCUGGCCAGCGAGCCCCAGAGAUCUGCCUGUCUCUGCCUGAGAUGAUAUGUGUAUACUAUACCAUCGCUGGUCCAGCUUAUUUUGCACGGGUUCUUGUGAACAAACACAGUGGAUGAUGUGUGUAUACCACCCAUCAGUCUGGCUUGCUUCACAUUGGGUCCUGGGCUAUUUUCCAGCUCUGUUGUUUCUAGAUUCAUGUGUUUAAAAAAAAAAAAAAAGAGCCUAGACUCUGUACUGUCUCAUACUGCAGUUUUACAAAAUCUUACUGAUCUUGCCACCACUGCCUUUGCUUGAACUUCCUGUGAGAUGUACUGCGCAGACUCCAACUCACUGAUGUAAUCCACAUUCUUUUGGACUUUCGGAUAUUGCCCAAAGUUCUGGCUUACUGAUUGCUAUUUUGCAUAUUAACCUUACUAUAACUGAUUCCAAUGAUCCAGCACACAGUAGAUGCUUCAUCAAGAGUGAUGAGGUUAUCAAAGAAAGAUCAAGAAACACAGGCCUUGCUCUCCAUCUUGCACGGAAAGUGUCAGGCAUUUUCUCAGCCACAGAAGAGGAAACUGUUCCAGACGCUUCCUCACAUGGCUCUGUUGUUAAGAGUGACUCUGGCUUUGCUGAAACCUUACUUUGCAUGCGUCUUUUUCUUAUGGCUUAUUAUGGUAACACAAUAGGUGGGCCCGGUAAUUUCAUUACUGGGUUUUAUUUGCCUUUAUGUAAAUGACUUUUCAUUUAGAUUUGUUCCAAAAAAAAAGUCAAAUGAAAUAAGAUGGAUAUUCUCCUUUCUACUUUGCCUUCAUCCUUUAUUGAGGCACUGUUCCACGUGGCUCUUCUUGUUAAACCUAUAAUAUCAUCUGUGCUAUCAUUCUAAAAUAAUAACCGUAUUUUAAAUGUGACAUGAAAAAGGAAUGGCUUUUAUAAUUCUAAAUAAGAUGUCUAUUUUAAUCUAGUUCAAUGCUGAUGAUUUUCUCUUUAUUUAAAAAAAAAUAAUAAAUCACCAGGAUUCAAUGUGAACGCC
ensembl:antisense Gm26748 predicted gene, 26748